UACGAAGGGGGCUAGCGUUGCUCGGAAUCACUGGGCGUAAAGCGCACGUAGGCGGGUUUUUAAGUCGGGGGUGAAAUCCUGGAGCUCAACUCCAGAACUGCCUUUGAUACUGGCGAUCUUGAGUCCGGGAGAGGUGAGUGGAACUGCGAGUGUAGAGGUGAAAUUCGUAGAUAUUCGCAAGAACACCAGUGGCGAAGGCGGCUCACUGGCCCGGUACUGACGCUGAGGUGCGAAAGCGUGGGGAGCAAACAGG
rnacentral:rRNA from 1 species